rnacentral:rRNA from 1 species
GUGUCAGCCGCCGCGGUAAUACAGAGGGUGCGAACGUUGCUCGGAAUUACUGGGCGUAAAGCGCAUGUAGGCGGGUCGGCAAGUCAGAUGUGAAAUCCCCGGGCUCAACCCGGGAACUGCAUCUGAAACUGCCGGUCUUGAGUACUGGAGAGGGUGGCGGAAUUCCUGGUGUAGAGGUGAAAUUCGUAGAUAUCAGGAGGAACACCGGUGGCGAAGGCGGCCACCUGGACAGUCACUGACGCUGAGAUGCGAAAGCGUGGGGAGCAAACAGGAUUAGAUACCCUGGUAGUCCACGCCGUAAACGAUGGGUGCUAGGUGUCUCGGGUAUUGACCCCUGAGGUGCCGUAGCUAACGCGUUAAGCACCCCGCCUGGGAAGUACGGUCGCAAGACUAAA